rnacentral:rRNA from 1 species
AUUGAACGCUGGCGGCAUGCUUUACACAUGCAAGUCGAACGGCAACAGGCCUUCGGGUGCUGACGAGUGGCGAACGGGUGAGUAAUGCAUCGGAACGUGCCCAGAGGUGGGGGAUAACGCAGCGAAAGCUGUGCUAAUACCGCAUGUGAUCUGAGGAUGAAAGCGGGGGACCAGGCAGCAAUGUUUGGCCUCGCGCCUUUGGAGCGGCCGAUGUCAGAUUAGGUAGUUGGUGGGGUAAAGGCCUACCAAGCCGACGAUCUGUAGCUGGUCUGAGAGGACGACCAGCCACACUGGGACUGAGACACGGCCCAGACUCCUACGGGAGGCAGCAGUGGGGAAUUUUGGACAAUGGGCGCAAGCCUGAUCCAGCAAUGCCGCGUGCGGGAAGAAGGCCUUCGGGUUGUAAACCGCUUUUGUACGGAACGAAAAGGCUCUGGCUAAUACCUGGGGCUGAUGACGGUACCGUAAGAAUAAGCACCGGCUAACUACGUG